rnacentral:sRNA from 1 species
GUUUCAAUUCCUCAUAGGCAGGCUAUCGGCUUCUCUUAGUUUAUCUUGCCGCAACCGGAAGGUUGCG